GAUGAACGCUGGCGGCGUGCCUAAUACAUGCAAGUCGAGCGGUAAGACGAUGAGGGUGGUCCUCGGGCGUUAACGGGGUGCGUGACAGGUGAACAUCGUGAACCUCACUUUAAGAUUGGGGUCAGUUCCGGUAACCGGUGCCGAAUCCGGCUUAUAUACUCAUCCGGGUUGGUGUAUAGUGUAAGGCGGGUUUGGUUUCGCCUCUCGAUCGAUCCGCGCCGCAUUAGCUAGUUGGUAAGGUAACGGCUUACCAAGGCAACGAUGCGUAGCCGACCUGAGAGGGUGAUCGGCCACACUGGAACUGAGACACGGUCCAGACUACUACGGGAGGCAGCAGUAGGGAAUCUUCCGCAAUGGGCGAAAGCCUGACGGAGCAACGCAGCGUGAGUGAUGAAGGUCUUCGGAUCGUAAAACUCUGUUAUUAGGGAAGAACAAAUGUGUAAGUAACUAUGCACGUCUUGACGGUACCUAAUCAGAAAGCCACGGCUAACUACGUG
rnacentral:rRNA from 1 species